AUACGGAGGAUCCGAGCGUUAUCCGGAUUUAUUGGGUUUAAAGGGUGCGCAGGCGGCCAUUUAAGUCAGCGGUUAAAUCGUGGGGCUCAACCCCAUUCUGCCGUUGAUACUGGGUGGCUUGAUUGCGGUCGAGGUUGGCGGAAUUCGUUGUGUAGCGGUGAAAUGCAUAGAUAUGACGAAGAACACCGAUUGCGUAGGCAUCUGACCAGACCGCAAAUGACGCUCAUGCUCGAAAGUGCGGGGAUCGAACAGGAUUAGAUACCCUGGUAGUCCGCACCGUGAACGAUGAAUACUUGUUUUCGGCGAUAUAAUGUCGGAGGCAAAGCGAAAGCGAUAAGUAUUCCACCUGGGGAGUACGCCGGCAACGGUGAAACUCAAAGGAAUUGACGGGG
rnacentral:rRNA from 1 species